UGCGCGCCGUGAUUGGAGGAUAGAGCCAGAGGGAGGAGCCACGAUCUAAGGUAGUGCCAAAGACUCUGCUGUAGAGUUCUCCUGAAAUUGUCUGAAGCAUAUUGGUUCCAGAUUUUUCCUGAAACAGGCCUUCGGUCCCUACACACCACCUCCACCACUCCAACACCCCCCACCUCCUUUUUUUCCCCUCAGCACAGCCCAAGACAGACAAUAGAGCUCCGGGUCACCUCCACACAUCUGGGAGCCAUUUCCUCCCCAAAGGACUCACUUCCUGUGGGCAGUCGCUUAACUUGGAGGUGUUUCUACAAGAGGUCAUGAUGGGAUCAUAGGAAAAGGGCUUUGCUUAAAGAUUCCCUGCAGCAACUUCACAUUCUUUUGCAUGAGACGAGAAGACAACAGUGAAAGGUUUUUUUCUCUUUGAUCACAACACCUGGACGUCUCCCACAAAUCAAACGACAGCCGCUUACAAAAAAACAAAAAAGACUUCUGGUGAAUUUAAAUGGAUAUAUCCUACAGAUGGGAUGCUUUUCCUGAGGAGCUUCAGUCGUCUGACUCAUCCUUAAGAGACACUUGAGCACUUUCAGAGUUUGAUAAAAGAGACUCGAGAUUUGCUGUAGACUUGUCAUGACUUAACUCUUGCACACUUGAGCUGUGUCUAUGCCUUGUUUUGACAGGAUUGAUUGUGUUAAAAAGUUCUGACCAAAUGUAUCUGUUCAUCUUUACAAGACAAUUUGAUAGACACACAAGAUUAUUAAGCUUUGAAAUAAAAGUAUUAUGUU